rnacentral:rRNA from 1 species
UACGAAGGGUGCAAGCGUUACUCGGAAUUACUGGGCGUAAAGCGUGCGUAGGUGGUUUGUUAAGUCUGUUGUGAAAGCCCCGGGCUCAACCUGGGAAUGGCAAUGGAUACUGGCAGGCUAGAGUGCGGUAGAGGGUAGUGGAAUUCCUGGUGUAGCGGUGAAAUGCGCAGAUAUCAGGAGGAAACACCGGUGGGCGAAAGGCGGGCUCUGGGGACGAUACUGACGCUGAGGACGAAAGCGUGGGGGAGCAAACAGGAUUAGAA